GGGCUCGCGCUGCCCAUCGCAUUUGUCGCAUUUUGCGAUUUUUCAGAAAAAAAUGCGACAGAAAUUCCGGAAAUGCGACACGGACAUUUCGUAUUUUAGUAUUCGCGCGCCAUUUUGAAUUUCAGCUGUUGGCAUCCAAACAGCCUCAGGGCUGUUUUACCUGUGCAGAAUGUGGAUACCCUGUCGCGUGGUAACAAUAAGACUUAGGGGCGUCUUGUUUAUUUAGCAGUUUACACAAAACAAUGGGUUGAUCCUCUAUGUGCAGACUUCAUGAAGUCCCUUCUCCUCUACAUGAUGAGAUUCACCAAAGGACCACUUUGUAAUUCUGGAUUUCAAGAUGAAAACAGUAUUCUUCAGUGAAAAUGUGAUAUGAAACUAUGAUCACGUGUAAUGUAUUACAGUAAUUAAUUUUCAGUAACUUUGUCAUCAGUGACUUUUUCUAGACUGCAAAUUUAAUGAGUAAUAUAUGUCAUUUACACUACUAAAAUGAUUAAUAAACAUUUAGAAACUCA